rnacentral:sRNA from 1 species
AUAAGAAGAAUUUACAAUCAGUCGUUGAACUGUUUAAAUAAAUAUCAUCACAUUGGCCUUGAGUCAGUUUAAACUCUUGGAAAAAAUGAAAUACGGGUUGUUUUUAUGUGUCUCGUCAGUCUGAAACCAGGAGCAAUAGAGUGAACAUCGAUAUUUCUUGUUUAAUUUGUAGUUUUGUGUUUUUUGGAUUCCAGUUAAAAAGUUUAAAAUGUGCGUGGACCUUAUAGACUGUGCUGCGUCGGCCGCUACAGCCCUUGCUUUUGACCCUGUUGACCUUUGUGGACCUGCCGCGACGGUGGGGGAGGAGGACGCACCCCAUGGCCGCUGCUAAGAGCCUGCGCCCCUGGACACGCUGCCCGGCUACGUGCCGCGCCCCGUUGGCCCCCUCAGACACUACUCCUACCUGGAUCUGGACCAGGAUUAAG